rnacentral:rRNA from 1 species
UACGAAGGGGGCUAGCGUUGCUCGGAAUCACUGGGCGUAAAGGGUGCGUAGGCGGGUCUUUAAGUCAGGGGUGAAAUCCUGGAGCUCAACUCCGGAACUGCCUUUGAUACUGGCGACCUUGAGGCUGGAAGAGGUUAGUGGAAUUCCCAGUGUAGAGGUGAAAUUCGUAGAUAUUGGGAAGAACACCAGUGGCGAAGGCGGCUAACUGGUCCAGAUCUGACGCUGAGGUGCGAAAGCGUGGGGAGCAAACAGG